CGCGGUAUAUUGACCGUGCGAAGGUAGCAUAAUCAUUAGUCUUUUAAUUGAGGGCUUGUAUGAACGGUUAGACGAGAAGUGGACUGUCUUUAUUGAAGCAAUUGAAUUUAACUCUUUAGUGAAAAGGCUUAAAUGAUCUAGGGGGACGAUAAGACCCUAUAAAGUUUAANCAUAAUGAGGAUAAAAAAUUAAUUAGAUUAUAAAGUUUAUUAUCAUAAAUAAUGUUUUGUUGGGGCGACAAGAAUAAAAAUAAUUUAACUGUUCUUUUUUAGAUACAAAAAUAUUUGUGUAGGGUGAUCUUUUUUAGAAGUAUUAGAGUAAAUUACUUUAGGGAUAACAGCGUAAUUUUUUUUGAGAGUUCUUAUCGACAAAAUAGUUUGCGACCUCGAUGUUGAAUUAAAGGGUCUUUAUAAUGGAGGCGUUAUAGGAGAGGGUCUGUUCGACCUUUAAAUCUUUACAUGAUUUGA
rnacentral:rRNA from 1 species